rnacentral:rRNA from 1 species
CAGCCGCCGCGGUAAUACGUAGGUGGCAAACGUUGUCCGGAUUUAUUGGGCGUAAAGCGCGUCUAGGUGGUUAUGUAAGUCUGAUGUGAAAAUGCAGGGCUCAACUCUGUAUUGCGUUGGAAACUGUGUAACUAGAGUACUGGAGAGGUAAGCGGAACUACAAGUGUAGAGGUGAAAUUCGUAGAUAUUUGUAGGAAUGCCGAUGGGGAAGCCAGCUUACUGGACAGAUACUGACGCUGAAGCGCGAAAACGUGGGUAGCAAACAGGAUUAGAUACCCGUGUAGUCCCUGUCUCUUAUACA